CCUACGGGUGGCAGCAGUGAGGAAUAUUGGUCAAUGGACGAGAGUCUGAACCAGCCAAGUCGCGUGAAGGAUGACUGCCCUAUGAGUUGUAAACUUCUUUUAUAUGGGAAUAAACUGUUCCACGUGUGGGAUUUUGUAUGUACCAUAUGAAUACGGAUCGGCUAACUCCGUGCCAGCAGCCGCGGUAAUAGGGAGGAUCCGAGCGUUAGCCGGAUUUAUUGGGUUUAAAGGGAGCGUAGGUGGAUUGGUAAGUCAGUUGUGAAAGUUUGCGGCUCAAACGUAAAAUUGCAGUUGAGACUGGCAGUCUGGAGUACAGUAGAGGUGGGCGGAAUUCGUGGUGUAGCGGUGAUAUGCUUAGAUAUCACGAAGAACUCCGAUUGCGAAGGCAGCUCACUGGACUGCAACUGACACUGAGGCUCGAAAGUGUGGGUAUCAAACAGGAUUAGAUACCCUUGUAGUC
rnacentral:rRNA from 1 species